UUCGCUGCAGUAGCUAUUUCUCGGUGACUGUUUUGCUAUUUUAUGCAGCUACUUCCAGGUGCUUCUUGCAUGUGUUCGCAGCUCCCGUGAUUCCCGGCUACCUCCUAAAUUUUUGGACUCAGACGUCUGUGCGUUUCGCCUUAGCCUGAGUCGCUUUGACGUCAGCAGCGAUGGGGACCGCCAUCGAUUUGUUCAUAAGGUAGCCAAUGAUUUGCUGGGAGACACGGAGGUUAUACAUCGUCGAAAUUUCAUUCAUAAAAAAUACCGCAGCAUUCCGCCCCUCCCACUGCGGCUUCUCGUAUAGGCCCAGUAUAUGCAUCCACACAACGUAACGGGAAAGCCUGCCGUCAUCAUCUUUCCACGGCCACCCCCCAGUACCGACCACCCCCGGUUUCAGUUAAAUAACUACACUAGCCGUUUACGUGCCUUCUAGGCAUACAAGGUGAAAAAACGGCACAAGGUCACGCGUUAAUAACCAAUACAAUUCAGUUUUGCAUUUAUAAAUAAUAGACUACUCUGAACUUAAUAAUAGGCCGUGUCUGUUGAGUAAAACACUGGCUGAGCGCCGUGAGGAGCUUCCCGUGGUGCUGAAACAGCCAAAUGGAUCCAGUUUACGGUGCAUAAUUACGGCGCUAGCACACACAGCUGUUUAAAAUGUUUUGGGUUUUUUUUCUUUCUUUUUCCGUUUAACGCGUUUCAAGAAGCAUUCAACAAGUGUUUUAAGUCUAUUUUUUAUUUGGAGAAAUCUUAGAUAGUAGCAGGAAUUAAUGUACACACGUAUAAGUACCAGUGCAUAAUAUAUGAGGUAUAUUUUAUGUAAAUCCAAGGAACUAUGAAUGCAUUGGUCUUUUUAUUGUCACAAUAAAUAGUCUGGUUAUAACUGUACCGCAACAAAAACUGUGCAUUGUCCAUCAUCAUCAUCAUCAUUAAUAGUUGUUGCUGUUGUCGUUCAUUUUUUUUGUUUCAUAUUUUAAGUCAUGAUGGCCCAUGCAAACCGCCAUGAUUCCCCGCAAUGAUUCUGUGAAGCGUUCAGAAGCGGGACGCAGCCUGGCGGCGGCGGGGAUCCUCCGUCCCCCCUUUAGCGUGAGCGCGUGGGCGAUGCGCAGUGCAAUGCGUACGUGGACGCGCAUGCCAAUGUGAUGGUGGGCGAGGCGUCUGCCUGGCGGGGCGAACCUCAUCCUCACAGUCGCUAUAUAAGGAGCUGCGGAGGACGCUAACGUGACCUCAGCCCUCUCGGCGAGGCUGCAUCGCGCAGGUGCGACGGGGUGCAUUUCAAAGGGCUCCCAGGAUGGGUUUUCCACGACGGGAAGUAUUAUGGAUUUUAUUGGUGAUCGGCUUGAUGGAAACGUAUCGCUGUCAAACCACAGUGGCAGAUGACUGUGGGCGCCUGGAUGGAUGCGGGGACUGCAUCAGCGGAGAUUCCCUCAACCUGACGGGCUGCGUUUGGAGGCAGUGUGAUGACG